GUCUACGGCCAUGCUACCCUGAACAAGCCCGAUCCUGUCUGAUCUCAGAAGCUAAGCAGGGUUGGGCCUGGUAAGCACUUGGAUGGGAGACCACCUAGGAAGAUCAGGUGAUGUAGGCG
rnacentral:rRNA from 1 species